GUUGAUCUCUAAGAAAGAUGAAUUUUAUAUUUUUUCAAAACUAAUUUAAAUUAGGCUUCUUAUUAAGAAGAAAAAUGAUAAAUUAGAGAAAAAGAGCGAAUUUUUUUCUCAAUUCAGCAUUAUAGAACCAGUUUAAACGAGUACCAAAUUAAAUAAGUAAUGUAGAAAGUCAUUAAUUCGAUGAUGUCAAGUCCUAAACGGGACAAGAAGUUUCCGAAAUUUUAUGCGAAUCACUAACAAAGUUGAAGGAAAAGUUGUUAUUAGACUAUAUUUGUCCAAGAGAAUUACUUAUUAAAAGAAAGAAAAAGAGUUAAACUUAAAAAGUUGGUCGUAUCGCGCAAGUUUACUUUCCAGAUGUUUUUGUUCCCAACGCAUAAAAACAUCAGAGUGGAGACCGGAUGGUGAUGAAACAGAUAGGUCUAUAAUGACGAUUUCCAAGAUAACUUACGCAUUUCGAGAAUUCUUUCAUAAAAAUAAAACACGAAUUGUAAUUUCUAGUCUUUCAAAUGGUGAAAACUUUCCAAUUUCUUAA